rnacentral:rRNA from 1 species
UACGAAGGGGCGAGCGUUGUUCGGAUUUACUGGGCGUAAAGGGCGCGCAGGCGGCUCAUUUUGUCAGGCGUGAAAGCCCCGGGCUUAACCUGGGAACUGCGUUUGAUACGGAUGGGCUAGAGUUCGGGAGAGGAGAGUGGAAUUCCCAGUGUAGAGGUGAAAUUCGUAGAUAUUGGGAGAAACACCGGUGGCGAAGGCGGCUCUCUGGACCGAUACUGACGCUGAGGCGGCGAAAAGCGUGGGGAGC